rnacentral:misc_RNA from 1 species
AAGUUCUCAACCACAUUACUACAUAUGUGGCUUGGAUGUGGGGGUUUGCAGGCUUUCUCUGAGGGUCUGCUCCUCUGAAAUGCAUUAGUGGUAUUCCUGAGCUUUACUACAGAUGUGAUAAUUUAUCUACAUCCCAAAAGUAUGCUUCAGCAACACCGCUCCUAACAAGCGAAAGCACAUUUUGAUGA